rnacentral:misc_RNA from 1 species
GAACAAAUAAAACAGUUGGAGGACAAACAGCAGAUUCUCAAGAGGAAAGUAAGAAGGCUUAGGGAAGAGGCAAGGGCAGAAAAGAUGGGUUUUGAAGAGCAAGAGAUACGGUGGGAAAAGGAAAAAAACUCUCUCCACGCUGUAAUGAAAGAAGUAGAAGCACAGAAUAAUAAGCUUCAGGAAAAAACGAAAUACCAAGAGAUACUCGUUGAAGAGUAUAAACAA